GCCCUGGUGGCUUAGCCUGGCAAAGCGCGUCCUUGGUAUCAAAGACAAAAAGGACGAGAUCCCGGGUUCGAAUCUCGGCCAGGGCU
rnacentral:tRNA from 1 species